rnacentral:rRNA from 1 species
ACGAACGCUGGCGGCGUGCCUAACACAUGCAAGUCGAACGGAGUAUAUUUUCUAGCUUGCUAGCAGGUAUACUUAGUGGCGCACGGGUGAGUAACACGUGGGCAAUCUACCCGGAAGACUGGGAUAACAGUGCGAAAGUGCUGCUAAUACCGGAUAUUUUCACGAAGUCGCAUGACUUUGUGCAGAAAGUUUUUCGCUUCCGGAUGAGCCCGCGUCCCAUUAGCUAGUUGGUGAGGUAACGGCUCACAAAGGCGACGAUGGGUAGCUG